rnacentral:lncRNA from 1 species
GAGUUUCGAGCGCCGCUUCCUAGCGGCGCGCACACUGCGCUCCUUCCCCUGGCAGGUGGGCGGCGGGGCGAGCGGAGAGGCCUGCGGGGCUUGCGGAAGUCCAGGGGCAGACGGGAUGGGUCUCCCUGCUGAAACCCCCGGCGCUCCUGCCACCCCUCGGAAGGCUCGGUCACACUCUCCGAGCACAGCCAUCAUCUCCCACGGUACCACAGGCCUGGUCACAUGGGACGCUGCCCGCUACCUUGCAGAAUGGGCCAUCAAGAACCUGGCAGCCUUCACUAACAGUAACCUGAAGCUUUCACCGUAGACGUGCUGUAUUGCCCAGAAGCCAUCGUGUCCCUGGUCGGGGUCCUGCGGAGGCUGGCUGCCUGCUGGGAGCACCAGCGGGCUCCUGAGGUCUACAUGGCCUUUACCGUCCGCAACCCAGAGACGUGCCAGGUGUUCACCACCGAGCUAGGCUGGGCUGGGAUCAGAUGGGAAGCGGAAGCUCAUCAUGACCAGAAACUGUUUCCCUAUGGAGAGCACUUGGAGAUGGCAAUGCUGAACCUCACACUGUAGGACUCAUACACGACUCCAACGGGAUUGUUAGAAUCAAAUCACUCUCGUGGGAAGAAUUUUUAUAUGGGAAAGCGGAUAAAACUUUCAUUGGACUGGAAUGUUUGGAGAAUGUUAAAUUCCAAAUCAGGAACCACAAUCUGCCCUCUAAUAAGACAUCGGCUAUCUAAGCAUGUGGGUGCCCCCUUUCUGCCAGCAGUUCUGGUUCUUAAGAAAAUCACCAUAAAUCAGACAUGAAAAUUCUGGCUCCAAAAAUAGCAUUUUCUUUGUGCAAAUAAAAACGUGUGUAUCAAGUA